rnacentral:rRNA from 1 species
UACAGAGGGGGCAAGCGUUGUUCGGAAUUACUGGGCGUAAAGGGCGCGUAGGCGGCCUGCUAAGUCGAACGUGAAAUCCCCGGGCUCAACCCGGGAACUGCGUCCGAUACUGGCAGGCUUGAAUUCGGGAGAGGGAUGCGGAAUUCCAGGUGUAGCGGUGAAAUGCGCAGAUAUCAGGAGGAACACCAAUGGCGAAGGCAGCUCGCUGGGACGGUACUGACGCUGAGACGCGAAAGCGUGGGGAGCAAAUAGG